UACGUAUGGUGCAAGCGUUGUCCGGAAUUAUUGGGCGUAAAGAGCUCGUAGGCGGUCUGUUGCGUCGGCUGUGAAAACCCGGGGCUCAACUCCGGGCCUGCAGCCGAUACGGGCAGACUAGAGUUCGGCAGGGGAGACUGGAAUUCCUGGUGUAGCGGUGAAAUGCGCAGAUAUCAGGAGGAACACCAAUGGCGAAGGCAGAUCUCUGGGCCGUAACUGACGCUGAGGAGCGAAAGCAUGGGGAGCGAACAGG
rnacentral:rRNA from 1 species